rnacentral:rRNA from 1 species
UGCUUGUCUCAAAGAUUAAGCCAUGCAUGUCCAAGCAUAAACCGAAUAUGGUAAAGCCGCGAAUGGCUCAUUACAACAGCCAUAGUUUAUUGGAUCUCAGAGUCCUACUUGGAUACCUGUGGUAAUUCUAGAGCUAAUACACGCAAUCAAGCCUCAACCUUACGGGCGGGGCGCAUUUAUUAGAACAAAACCAAUUGGCUUCGGCCAUAGAUUGGUGAAUCUGAAUAACUACGCUGAUCGCACGGGCUUGUCCCGGCGACGUAUCCUUCAAGUGUCUGCCUUAUCAACUUUCGAUGGUAGUUUAUAUGACUACCAUGGUUGUAACGGGUAACGGAGAAUAAGGGUUCGACUCCGGAGAGGGAGCCUGAGAAACGGCUACCACAUCCRAGGAAGGCAGCAGGCA